rnacentral:rRNA from 1 species
GUCUACGGCCAUACCACCCUGAACGCGCCCGAUCUCAUUUGAUCUCGGAAGCUAAGCAGGGUCGGGCCUGGUUAGUACUUGGAUGGGAGAAGGCCACAAGAGAGCGGGACUGAGGUGUUUAUUGACC